rnacentral:siRNA from 1 species
GCUAAGUCUUUCGAAGUUUUUCUG